rnacentral:rRNA from 1 species
CGCUGGCGGCAUGCCUUACACAUGCAAGUCGAACGGCAGCGCGGGAGCAAUCCUGGCGGCGGGUGGCGAACGGGUGAGUAAUACAUCGGAACGUGCCCAAUCGUGGGGGAUAACGCAGCGAAAGCUGUGCUAAUACCGCAUACGAUCUACGGAUGAAAGCAGGGGAUCGCGAGACCUUGCGCGAAUGGAGCGGCCGAUGGCAGAUUAGGUAGUUGGUGAGGUAAAGGCUCACCAAGCCUUCGAUCUGUAGCUGGUCUGAGAGGACGACCAGCCACACUGGGACUGAGACACGGCCCAGACUCCUACGGGAGGCAGCAGUGGGGAAUUUUGGACAAUGGGCGCAAGCCUGAUCCAGCCAUGCCGCGUGCAGGAUGAAGGCCUUCGGGUUGUAAACUGCUUUUGUACGGAACGAAACGGCCUUUUCUAAUAAAGAGGGCUAAUGACGGUACCGUAAGAAUAAGCACCGGCUAACUACGUGCCAGCAGCCGCGGUAAUACGUAGGGUGCAAGCGUUAAUCGGAAUUACUGGGCGUAAAGCGUGCGCAGGCGGUAAUGUAAGACAGUUGUGAAAUCCCCGGGCUCAACCUGGGAACUGCAUCUGUGACUGCAUUGCUGGAGUACGGCAGAGGGGGAUGGAAUUCCGCGUGUAGCAGUGAAAUGCGUAGAUAUGCGGAGGACACCGAUGGCGAAGGCAAUCCCCUGGGCCUGUACUGACGCUCAUGCA